ensembl:lncRNA
ACACAGUCUCAUAAAAGCACACAAUAGGCCAAGCAUGUGUGUGUGUGUGUGUGUGUGUGUGUGUCAUGAGAAAAGGUUUGCACUUUGACCCCACCCCUAACCUUAAACCUCAACCUUUGUAUCUCUUAUAUGACGGUGUGAGUGUGUGUGUGUGUGUGUGUAUGUGUGUGAGUUUGUGUGUGUGUGUGUGUGUGUGUGUCUGUAGUUAAUCACACUGCAUUAGAGUUAAAUGGUGCAGGAAUGAAGUUCAGAAUAAAACAUUAAUAAUUAAGAAUUAAUCUCUCAGGCAGAGUGUAAAUAAACCCCAUUCAAACACCACGCCGUGACUGUGUAACAGCUCUUACACCUGUGUUCCAGUCACCAACUUUACACUCGCAUUUACACUCGCAUUUACACUCACACCUUCACACUCUAAUUUACACUCACACCUUCACACUCACACCUUCACACUCACACCUUCACACUCACACCUUCACACUCACACCUUCACACUCACACCUUCACACUCUAAUUUACACUAAUUUACACUCACACUUUCACACUCACGCCUUCACACUCACGCCUUCACACUCACGCCUUCACACUCACGCCUUCACACUCACGCCUUCACACUCACGCCUUCACACUCUAAUUUACACUCACACUUUCACACUCACGCCUUCACACUCACGCCUUCACACUCACACCUUCACACUCACACCUUCACACUCACACCUUCACACUCUAAUUUACACUCACACUUUCACUCACAUUUACACUCACACCUUCACACUCAUAUUUACACUCACAUUUACACUCACACCUUCACAUCUUCACACUCACACAUUUACACUCACAUCUUCACACUCACACAUUUUACAUUCACAUUUACACUCACAACUUCACACUCACAUUUACACUCACACCUUCACACUCACAUUUAGACUCACACCUUCACACUCACUCACAUUUAGACACACACUUACACUCACACUUUCACACUCACAUUUACACUUAUACCUCUACACUCACACCUUCACACCUCUACACUAUAACCCUCAUUCUCUCAAUGACAGAAAAGUCAAAAACUCACCUGAUCCUCUCUCUCUCUGUGUGUGUGUCUCUCUCUCUCU